UAUGCAUAUUACCUACAUAUAAUUACUGUGAAUGCUUUGAAGUACUAGUGCGAACUACGAAUGGCUUGAUUCCUGUUUAGGGUAAGUAGGCAAUCUAACGAGACGCUAGAUGUAGCCAUACAAUAAAUGAGACUAAAUAAUUGCGACAAUAGCCUUGUUUGGGGAAUUGAGCAAUGUGAAGGAGAUUGGUGGAAAAUGUGAGAUUUAACCUUAUGAUUUGGUGAUUAAAUGUUGUUCAUAAAUCAAUGUGUGAAGAAUCAAGAAAUUGAAGUAAGGAAAUGUAAGUAAUGAUAGUUAAUUAACUAGUGUCUAAUUGGGUUUAUCACCGAUAAUUAUUCUUGAAAAUAAA
rnacentral:lncRNA from 1 species